UUAAAAAGCUCGUAGUUGAAUUUCGGGAUCAAUACGUCGGUCGUGCUUCGGUACGUACUGGCGUCAUUGAUUUCUCCCUUCUGACGAACCAUGAUGUCAUUAACUUGGUGUCUUGGGAAAUCAGGACUGUUACUUUGAAAAAAUUAGAGUGUUUAAAGCAGGCUCACGCUUGAAUACAUUAGCAUGGAAUAAUGAAAUAGGACGUUCGAUCCUAUUUUGUUGGUUUUUAGGAUCAACGCAAUGAUUAAUAGGGAUAGUUGGGGG
rnacentral:rRNA from 1 species